UACGUAGGGUGCGAGCGUUUAAUCGGAAUUACUGGGCGUAAAGCGUGCGUAGGUGGUUUGUUAAGUCUGUUGUGAAAGCCCCGGGCUCAACCUGGGAAUGGCAAUGGAUACUGGCAGGCUAGAGUGCGGUAGAGGGUAGUGGAAUUCCCGGUGUAGCGGUGAAAUGCGUAGAGAUCGGGAGGAACACCAGUGGCGAAGGCGGCUACCUGGACCAGCACUGACACUGAGGCACGAAAGCGUGGGGAGCAAACAGG
rnacentral:rRNA from 1 species